rnacentral:piRNA from 1 species
UUUUUUGAAACGGUGAUUCUG